rnacentral:rRNA from 1 species
GACGGAGGAUGCAAGCGUUAUCCGGAAUGAUUGGGCGUAAAGCGUCCGCAGGUGGCAGUUCAAGUCUGCUGUCAAAGACCGGGGCUUAACUUCGGAAAGGCAGUGGAAACUGAACAGCUAGAGUAUGGUAGGGGCAGAGGGAAUUCCUGGUGUAGCGGUGAAAUGCGUAGAGAUCAGGAAGAACAUCGGUGGCGAAGGCGACUCUCUGGUCGGACCCUGACGCUGAGGCGCGAAGCUAGGGGAGCAAACAGG